GAUGAACGCUGGCGGCGUGCCUAAUACAUGCAAGUCGAGCGAACAGACGAGGAGCUUGCUCCUCUGACGUUAGCGGCGGACGGGUGAGUAACACGUGGAUAACCUACCUAUAAGACUGGGAUAACUUCGGGAAACCGGAGCUAAUACCGGAUAACAUGUUGAACCGCAUGGUUCAACAGUGAAAGACGGUUUUGCUGUCACUUAUAGAUGGAUCCGCGCCGCAUUAGCUAGUUGGUAAGGUAACGGCUUACCAAGGCAACGAUGCGUAGCCGACCUGAGAGGGUGAUCGGCCACACUGGAACUGAGCCACGGUCCAGACUCCUACGGGAGGCAGCAGUAGGGAAUCUUCCGCAAUGGGCGAAAGCCUGACGGAGCAACGCCGCGUGAGUGAAGAAGGUCUUCGGAUCGUAAAACUCUGUUAUUAGGGAAGAACAAAUGUGUAAGUAACUAUGCACGUCUUGACGGUACCUAAUCAGAAAGCCACGGCUAACUACGUG
rnacentral:rRNA from 1 species